CCUAACCUAAUAACCCAGCUGAAAAGGACACAACGAGUAAUAAAAAAAAGAGGCCUCCAACAGAAACCAAGCUCCGAACUUGCAAGCCACAAGCCACUAAAAAAAAAGAACACCUGGACUAGUUUCUGGAGAAGGACAAGGCUACCAAUGCACAACUGCACUAGCCCUUCUUAACCUAUCGACUGGAAGAGAAAAAUAGACACUUCUAGAGUAGAAACAGAGCUCCCAACAUAUUCGAAAGCUACACAAACCAAAAAGCUUAACCUUCCAAUUUGGCACUGAGUCUCAAGAGCAAUUCAGAAAAUGCUCCUCGUGAACUAUGGCAAGGGUGGAAAACCACUGUCCCCAAACGGCUUCUUGCCUUAAGGGUCAACAGACUUGUAGAUCAGGCAGUGGAGAGACCCUGGAGAUAGUCUUCCUCAUGGCAUCGUCUUUAAACCUCUCGUGGCAGAACUAGCAGCCAC
rnacentral:misc_RNA from 1 species